AGCCCAUGAUGGGGGCAUUCUCUCUGCAAAUUCUUGAAUCUUUCCCAAGCUUCAUAUAAAGAUUCAUCUGCUUCUUAGGAAAUAGGAUCUUACUCCUUAACAAAGUU